rnacentral:rRNA from 1 species
CAUCGGGGCGGGCUCUAUAACAUGCAAGUCGAACGGUAACAGGUCUUCGGAUGCUGACGAGUGGCGAACGGGAGAGUGGUACAUCGGAACGUGCCUAGUAGUGGGGGAUAGGUGCUCGAAAGGGUAGCUAAUACCGCAUGAGAUCUACGGAUGAAAGCAGGGGACCUUCGGGCCUUGUGCUACUAGAGCGGCUGAGGGCAGGUUGGGUAGUUGGUGGGGUAAAGGCUUACCAAGCCUGCGAUCUGUAGCUGGUCUGAGAGGACGACCAGCCACACUGGGACUGAGACACGGCCCAGACUCCUACGGGAGGCAGCAGUGGGGAAUUUUGGACAAUGGGCGAAAGCCUGAUCCAGCAAUGCCGCGUGCAGGAUGAAGGCCCUCGGGUUGUAAACUGCUUUUGUACGGAACGUUUAGCCUGGGCCCACCUCCCCCCGGGUCAUGACGGAACCGUAUUUAAUACUUUUUCGGCUAACUACGUGCCAACAGCCGCGGUAAUACGUAGGGGGCAAUUUUUUUUUUUGAAUUACUGGGCGUAAAGCGUCCCCCGGCGGUUUUGUAAGACAGUGGGUGAAAUCCCCGGGCUCCACCUGGGAACUGCCAUUGGUGACUGCAAAGCUAGAGUGCGGCAGAUUUUGGAUGGACUUCCCCGUGUAGCAGUGAAAUGCGUAGAAUAUGCGGAGGACAACCGGUUGGUAAAGGCAAUCCCCUGGGGCUUGCCCUGACGCUUCAUGCCUCGAAAUCCGUUGCGGCGCGCAUAACAGGGAUUAGAUCCCCUGGGUACGUCCCACCCGCCCCAAAUCGGAUGUUCAACUGGCUCGGUUCCGGGUCUUUAGCUGACUCGCUCUUCCGGCGACUCUGACC